AAUCCUCAGCCUCCAGCAGGGAGAUUGUUCUCAAUAGGUACGUGUUCAUUAUUCUGACCAAGCCUGUUCCCACCACGCCGGUUUCCUCUGUAGAAUUCAGCAGCUGGAACAUUUGUGCAGUAAAAAGGUAACUCUGCAUUUUAAAGAUGGGUUUUGUCAGCUUUUAAUAAUGGGACCACAGUGUGACCACUACAUCUACACUGAUACCCUAAACCCCGCUGCAGGAACUGAGAGUAUCAGUGUCUGGGCUCGUGUGACAGCGGGCGGGGAUGGUAAGCAGCGCAGUGGCCCGGCGCUGGAGACGCACUGUGCACAGCAGACAUCAUGGCUGGGAGGGGAGACGGCCGGGCGACGGAUACGCGUUUGCCGGAGCACUGGAGGGAUGUGCGAGAAUGGAGCGUGGAGAAGAGACAGAGCCACCAAAUGUGGGUUGCAGAUGUGGAAGCUGUCCUCAGGUCCAUGGAGAGACAGUUGAAUGCUUCGCUGGAGAAAUAUCCUCGUACAAGCGCAGUCUGCCCAGAGCGUUGUCCUCCAUCUCCUUUGAACCGCGGCGGGUGUCUCUGCUGCCGACCAGCUGAUCCGGAGAGGCGGCUUAAGAUGGUCUGAAAUGAUUUGGAGGCAAGAGAAACGCUCAGCGAUCCCGUUUUCUUUGCAAACCUGAACCCUUCAAUCCCUCAUGCAAUGACCUGUCCUCAUAAGCCGUUUUUGCCAUUCAGCUGAGGAAAGUCAUUUCACACUUGAGUGUAUCUUUACUUAUCCGUCCCCUGAGCGCUGAAAAGUAGAUUUCAACUUGAGAUCUUCCCGCGAUGACUUCCAGCUUCAUGUUCUUAAUACUCUGCUAACGACUGACUAAUGAAUAAACAAGUCUCUCUGCGACGCAGGCUUCUGUUGUCUCUAUUGGAGGGGUGGGGGGGGGUCCUUACCCACAUUGUAUGCAGCACAGAAACAAGCUACCAGGUUUACUCUUUUGAAUCAUUUGAAAUUUUACUCUCUGCACGUAGAUUGUAAAAGCAGUGAUGCACUAAUAUGUAUUACGAACUAUUGAAACCUUCGGACGUACAGCAUCUCAGCAGUUAAUGCUGUUUUUCAUCUUUCUACGAGCGGACCAUUUCCUUUGCCAAGAGAUGAAACCGUAUUUCCUCUCUGAUUACGUAAAUGACUGAAUCCUUAUUGAUAAUAAGGUUGUUUUCCUGUUUGUUGUCCCGCCGACCGGUGUGCAUUCAAUUUAAGCUCCGCUGGGACCGACAGGCCAGAGUUGUUCUGAAAAUGGCACCAAAAACCCUCACUGAGACUGAGAGUGCUAUGCAUCUACUAUAAGAGACAUGCCCCUGUUGGCCGUUGUGACAACUGUGUACCAAAUCCUUCCAGCCGUGGCACGCGAUUGGGGGAACUAAUGUGCCGAAUACGUUGCCUGCGAACAUCGCCUCUGCCAAGCGUGCACUCUGAAUCCGCCUGUGUAAUGGAGGCAGUGUGGCACACGCAUAUCUGCUGUUAGCAGAGGCAGCACUUCCAUAUCUCGCCGUGGCCUCCUGCCCCUGAUGAGCCCCUCCGACUCAAAUCACGAGUGGAAAGCGGGGCUUUUGUGAGCUUGGUUAAGUGGCGCAGCUUGGGUAAUGAGUGUGGUCUCCCAUGGUCUGGCAGACCAUGGGAGUUAAUCAAAUGACGGGCGAGAGAGCCGUGAUUCCUAAUGGAGUCAAAAAAGAAAGAGAGAGAGAGAGAUGUAGAGUUUGGGACUAAUACAGGGACCGCUUUCUUCCCCAAUCACCUGGGCAGCUGCAGACUUAAUCAUAUCUCCACAGACUUUGAGAUUCAAUACAGAAAAAACCUUGAGCAAGGACCGGGAGUUAAAGCUGAAGAGCAGGACUUGUUGUCUGUUGAGAAGCUGAUUAUGGUUGUGUUGUUGACUGUUGGCAGUAGAAGGACGCAAAGUAUUUGGACAUCGACCUGUUCUGAAGCAAUCUGUCAUAAAUCACAGUAGCUGUGAUAUUUCAUUUUUCCUCACAUGUGCAUCAUGAGGGAUCCUCACAGCUCGUCUAUGUGUACAAACAGGUGCACAAAGGGGGAGGAAGACCAUUUGUACAAGAGAAUAAAAUAAAUGACUCAUUUUGUCCCAGUAGCACCUCUCCAUCUUCUGAAAAGCCUGCACAUAAAAUGUGUUCCUCUGGUGAUAAGACCAGCAAACAAUCAAGCAGCAGCCUCCCACAGCGAGAGCCGAGGUCUGAUGAGAUGCCACUCACAGGCAAUUAGAACGCCGCCUCAAAAACCCUCGGAUGCACAACUCCAACUCUCUCUCCCUCCCUCCCUCUCUAACGGCUCACAGGUUGCGUUUGUUUGUCAGGGGGCUCGACCCCGCGGUUGACACCAGGAUGGAGGGAAUGAGACGAUGCUAUUUGUGACCAGAGUAAAGCCUCAAUGCAAAGACUAGAUGUAUUACUUAUUCCAAAAGUGUUCAGGGUUCAAUGCUUGUCUAACACAAAGCCGCUUUUCGACACUUACAUGGAUCCCUCUAAUCGAGUCAAGGAACUCGGUUGAGUUGUUUUGAAAGACUGUACGUGGGUCCGCCCCCACCGCCAUCACGCUAAUCCGGCGGCCUCCCCCGCAGCCACGCUCCAACAGGCAGGCCGCGGGAACGGGGGGUGACCCGAUAAAGUGCGUCCGCUUGUAAUGAGGAGUGAUUCCCCCGCUGCAGAGGGAGGGCCCGGGCUUCCCCCCGUCUGCGCUUCUUGGCACAUCUUCUGUUGGGCGAGUGACUCAGCCCUUUGGAUGCCCCGUGCUGCCAGGCGGCAGCUGAGUUGUAUUAAAGACGGCCUGGUGAGCCCCUCCAAAUCAUGGAGAAAAGAAGAAGAACUCCUUGACAUGAACUUUUUGCUUGUUUUUGGUAUAAGAAUAUUUUGUCUAUGCAAUAAACUGUCCGAGUAAUAAACAUCACGUGUUGGCUUUUGGAAAUUAUAAUACAUAUUUUUUUAUGGACAAAGACCAAAAAACAGGUGAUUUUAAAGCGAUAGGACCCCUGACAACACUAUUAAGUUGCUAGGCAACCAGCAAAGCUCUUGGGAAGUUAAUGCACAUAUCACCGCGUAACAAAACAACAAUUCGUCUUUGCACUUUGGUUUUGAAGUUUGAAGUUACAACAUGUUAAAUAGCUUUAAUUAAAGCCGUGCGAGUAGGCAUAUUUUGUAACAAGCCAGCUGUUUCCCAUCUUAAUGCUAAGCUAAGAUAGCCAGACCCAAAUUUACCAUACAAACAAGUGAACUGAUCAACGAGGACAACACUUGCUUUCAGCAGCCCUAAACCUACUGUCACAUAAACACAAGCAUAGCAAAGUGCCAGGAGUGAAUGACGUAUGGAAAGAGGCUCGUAGCUGACACAAGGCGCACACACCAUCACUUUAACAACUCAUCAACAUCCCGUUUUGAUUCCACGCUUGUCGACAGUGUCUCAUGUAUUCAAUAGAUGACGGUAGUAGACACUUUAUAGCAGUUUCUUAAAAUCCCAUUUUCAGUUUUCCCAGCAGCCAAUCUAGAGCACGGAGAAUGAUUUUUCAGGAAGUUAUUCAAAAAGGAUGAUCCUCUUCACAGCAUCCAGACUUGAUUAGUUUUAAAUGAUCCAUUUCACAGUCUGUGGAUAUAUAUUUGUCACGGUUAUUACUGUUGUUUCAGAGCUCGGAAAGCUUAGCUGCCAGCGAUAGACAGGUUUGCAUAACUCUUAUAUAAUAAUAGCAGCGCCUUGACAGAAGAGAGGGGGGGGGCAUCUGAAGAAACAGAGCAGAAUUAAGGGGCAAGUGAAGGAGAGCCAGGCGGACAGGCAAACUCUUUCUGCAAGACAUCAGUGCUAAGCGACCCAGACGAGGGAAUCUGUCACGUUGGAUGCCACUGCUAACUAAAUGCUGAGGUAUACGACAUUCCUUCCACCCACUCAGUGUACUGUCAGUGUGUGUGUGUGUGUGUGUGUGUGUGUGUAGGGUGUGGGAUGGUGUUAGGUCAGGAGCAGGGCUUAGUGAAUGUUAUAUAAGCAAUAAUUAGGUUAAUGUAUUGAUGUUAUUGAUAUGCACUGACAUCUGUGCUGCGCGUCUCUCACAGCAGAUAUUGGCUGAGUAUCAGUUAUCACGGCUUGUGUCAGCGGUCUCGUGUUCAGGAGAUGAAACCAGAUGGCGAGGGAUGCCAGUUUAGCGAAAUUAGUGCAAACUAUGUGGUAUGUGUGCAGAAAUGAUGCAGUGAUAACGUUUGUUUCAUCACCCCUUCUGAGAGGAAAACCUCUCUAAAAUCUACAGGCACAUAUUGGGUAUGGACAGCACGGUGUCUUAAAUCACAUAAUAAUAAUAAACACGGCAUGUAUACAGUGAGGCAGGGAGCCCUCCUCCCCUCACCCCUUCAAUGCCAGGCAGCAAGAGAGCUCACAGCUGGAGAUGGGUGGAAGUGAGCCUCCACGGUCUCCUUUCAGGCUGCUCUCCCGCUCCUCAGCUGUGCCAUUUUCAAUCAAUAGCUUCUUACGGAAAUCAGCAUCCACGCGACGGCUUGAAAUGAAAGGCCCCCUUUGUGGCGAGGUGUAGUGUGUGUAAUGAUGUGAAAGAAACGCACAAGUUUUUCACAGGAAUUUUCUCCCCUUUGCAUAAAAUUACAUAAUAUGUUCACGUUUAAAGUGAAGCCUGAAUGGAUUCUUUUUUUUUUUGGGGGGGGGGGGGGGGGGGGGGGCUACAUUAACAGCUAAAGUAGGGCUUAAUGUAAUGACUAACUAUCUUCUGCAGCAAGGUGGAAGAAAAGCGGUGCGUUUACUUGCAUGUGAAUUAUCAUGUUGUUCCCCCUCUGGCUCCAGGUGUUUACUCGGGCCACUUAUAAUUCACAUCUGCAUAUAUUCUCACCUCCUUCUCCUUCUCCUCCUGCUUCUCCUCCCGCUUCUUCCUCUCUGUGGAUCGGUGCCUGCAGGCAGAACCGGAACGCAAGGAUGACUUUGAUUUGACCAAAGAGAAAUCAGACAAACUUCUUAAUUAUAUUUCCUCAAAGCAAUAUUCUCCUCUGACACAUGACUGAUGCACUGAUGAUGAACUACGGUGCCAGUAAUGGAUUUUAUGGCGAGGACAAAAUGUGAAGACGGGGCUAGAGGGCCACUUUACUAGGAAGGAAAAAGAAUUAAAGCAGGAUGUUCAUAGUCACACUUAAUGUACAAUUAAGACUCAAUAACGACUUACAGCGAAAACAUACUAACGUGUUGUUGAGUAGUGAAAAAGAACACAACAGUUAUAAAGUUGUGCUUUAACACAUACUUUAGAUGAAUUGUGUUGUGAUCAUUUCCACUA
ensembl:lncRNA